GUCCGCACAAUUUUGGCCACCCCAAUAUUUACGCUGAACAACCGAUCGUCCCUAGAGCAAGUGGUAAAGGGCUUGGUGGUUGGUACCCGAGACCCAAAUUCGAAUCCUAGUUGAUUCACAUUUUUCAGCUAAGUUUAUUUCUAAAUGAAAUAAACGAAGCGGGUAGCAUGCUACCUAUCUCUCAAAAAAAUAUUUACGCUGAACAGUAGCCUGAGUUCUUGGGUUGAGCGUUCGAAAACAUUUCCAAGCAACCAAUUCUCCAUCCAAAGAUUUUGGACGCGCGUCUACAAGACAAUUCGAACAUCCGAAUCACUGAAAUUCUAAGCCGCUCAGUAUUUUCGGACACCCGCAAGUGCUUCCGGGCGUCCGGAUAUCCACAGAAACUUUGGUUUCUGCAGAAACUAAUUCCAAACUCUGUUUUCGUAUCUGUUUCACGUCAAAAUUGAACCAACUCAAUUAGAAAACCACGGGCAAAACCAUCUAAAUAUAUAGUAUAUAUCAAAUAUUAUUUCAUAAUGAAACCUUACUAAUUUGCACGGCCCCAGUAUAAUAUACAAAUCAAACUAAUUAAAAAAAUUAGAUGGUAAAUUAAAAUUUUUAGAAGUUGGAUAAUCAUUAAUUUUCAAGCAAAGUUUAGGUCUGUUCUACAAACUUUCACCUUUUUCUUUGUUUGACCUUAGUUUCUCGUCGUAAUGUAUCUUUUAUUAAAAAAAAAAAAGUUGAAAAGACCGUUAAUUUUUGUUUUUUUUUAAAAAAAAAGUCUGAUAAGACCCUUUUUGGAUUUUCUUUUAUGUUACUAUUUUGCGCACGUACGGUUGAAUAUCUUAUGUUCAUACUUGUAAAGUAAAUCCAAAUUUGACCAUCGCAAGUGAAAUUCACAAUGUUCAAUCUCUAAUUCAAGUUUAUGAAAAGAAUGGCAUUGUCGCUGACUUUUAUAAUUAUUUGGAUUGCAAAGUUUGUAAUUAUUUGUAUUUAAUCUUAUUUAAUAUUAUCACAGUGUAUCUUUAUUGUAUCUACUUAAUUUGGUGCGCAAAUUUUUCGCUAUUCAUAUGUGCAGAAAAUUUCUAUGCAAUAUCGAUCGCUCGAAUUCAACAUCUUAUUGAACGUAGCUAGUAUUAUUUUUUGUAGAAAAAUAGUUGGUAAUGGCCUAUUCAUGGACAGAUUAUAUAAUCCAGCUCUAACAAUUACAGAUAAAUUAAUUAAAGAGUGUCAUUUUGAAUAUAUGGAAUUUUAAAUUUCUUAUUUUUGACCAUAUAUGAAAAGCAAGAAGAGUGCACAAAGUAGAGUAGUUGUUGUCAUGUAUAUAGGAUUCUGAUUCAACCCAAAAACUUAGCUAAGUCAAAUUUUAAUCCAAAAGUGUGCAUACCAAGUUUUCUAUCUUAGGUUUUUUUUUUUUUUGUUUUUUUUGUUUUUUUUUUUAUAUCUUAGUUUUACUACUCUACCAAACAACUAAUUAUAUAGUUCCACAAAUGAUUCCUCAAAAGUAGCUUCCUCCUUGAACAAUUUCAAAAGUUGUGUGGGGAUAAUUCCCGACAUAUAUAAAACUGCUUUAUCUAUCAUUCAUCACGUGACCAACGAAAAUUUUAAAACUCUACAAAUGGUGGAGGAUUUACGCUCCGUUUAGAAUUGUAAUACAGUUUGAAUAAUACACACGUGUGGAUUAAUUUGAGUUCUAAGCCUCCCUACUCAAAAUUAAAACCAUGAAAAAUUUAGUGAGAUCCAAAUCAUAAAAAUAUGAUGUAGAUUAUUUGAAAAUAUCAUAAACAUGUAACACAUUACACCCAAUAACUCCUUAGGGCCUUUUACAUGAGACCCCUCAAACUUUGUUAGUGAUUCAUAAAUGUAAUGAAAAGCCCACUAAAACAUGGACCACAUUUUAAUUACCAGAUUCAUGUUUUCCAAAACUAGGCCCACUGAAUAAAUUUGCCAGAUGCAUAUAUAAAUGUAUGCAGCAUCUUUUUUCUUUUUUCUUUUUUAAGACUUGUAGUCCAAAUAUCAAAUCAAAUCAAAUCAACUACUUUUAAAAAAAUAAUUUCAAAAUUGGGCAAGUGCUAUUUGGUUUGAUGGUAGAAAUUAAAAUCACUAGUUGAAUAAAAGGGAUCCAAUUCCUUAAUUAAAAUUCCUCUUCUACAAAAAGAUUCUUAUAUAUUCGGACUUGGAUUUUGAGUUAGAAAAUGCGAAUUCAGACUUAGAUUCACAGUUCUUCUUCGAAUUCAGAUUCAAAGUUUUGUUUAUCUGAAUCCAAAACUAGUUUUGAUGCAUUUUCAAUUUGUGACAUUCUUGGUGAGUCUAUAUAUGACAUUAUGUGUUAUUUUUAAUUCUCAGUUUCUAUUAUUUUUCUAAUUUAUUUAAACUCUAAACAUAUAUCGGCAAAUCAUUUUAGCUUUUAAUUCUACAUUAACUAAACAUUCGAUUCAAAUGCGCAUCCGUUUAAUAUCCGACCCGUUUCUAAAUCUAUUUUCAUCAUAUAUGAAUUUGAAUUUUAGCAUCCGAUCAAUAUUUAAAUUUACGUACUAUCUGAUCUAUAUCUGACCCAUUUUCAUCCCUACAUAUAUUACAUAUACAUUAGCUGGAAACCAUUCAACUAAGCAAUAAAGAAUGUAGAAUUGGGCCCAUUAGUACAUGCUACUUCUUCUAUCAUUAAUUAUUUCAUAUAAAAUAAUCCACAUAUAAAUUUCUAAUAGUAACCAUUUUAAAACAAGGAGCUUGCAAAAUCAUGAUCCAUAUUUUAAAAAACGAUAGAGCCAAAGUUUACUUCAAUCAAAAGUGCAGUAGAAAAAAAUGUUUGCCUCUGAGAAAAUUUUAGUUCGCAGUAUACAUAAUACUCUCCUCCUCUAAAAAAGUCGCUAAUAAAAAUAAAAAAAAAUUAAAUUAUAUAAUUUUUUUUAUAAAUACUUAUUUUUUUACUUUUCUUCCCUAAUGUUCAAAAACUUGUAGUUUUACUUUCUCAACAUUUUAAGUUGUUACAUUUAGAGACCGUUUGGUUGCAUGUAGUUGCAAACAACUGUAUGUAAAUGCAAAUUUCGUGUUUGGUUUGAUGUAUUUAACUCCAACUGCUGCAGUAGGAGGUCCAACUGCAGCAGUUUGAACUACGGUCAAAUUGGCCGCAGUUCCAACUACAGUAGUUGAAGAGAGUAACUUUAAAUAAAAGGUAUGCUUACCUUCUCAAUAUUUUUUAAACAAAAAUUAUUUUUCUUUUUUACAUUGGAGGUUAUCUCACCAUCAUAUAUAUAAAAUAAUAAAAUUUUAAUAAUUAUUUCUCAACUGCAUGCAACCAAACAAAUUAUUUAUACUUGCAGCGCUUUCUACUACAUCCAACCAAACAUGAUUCAUGUAAUUGUAAUUGCUGUAUUUCCAACUGCAUGCGUCUCUAAUUACACUGCAUUUAUAAUUACAUCUAACCAAACGGCCUCUUAGUCCUCUUCCGUCAAGGUUCUAUCACUAUUCUGUUCAUUUGUUAUAAUUUAUACCGAAAUUGUUCUUCAAAAUGAUGUAAAUAUAUUUUAAAAAAUUCUUAUAAAAAAGGUAAAGGUAAUUUGGUCAUUUUGCUAUCACUAUUAAUGCCAUACCCUCUGAAAGCUUUUUUAAAAUUUUAAGGAAGCAAGAUGCAAAUUUUUAAAAUUUAGCAAGAAAAAAAUUUAAAAAAAUAUAUUUAUAAAGAAGUAAAGAGAAUUUGGUCAUUUUGCUCUCUCCAUUAACGCCUGACCUCUUGAAAGUUUUUUUUGAAAUUUUAAGGAUGCAAUAUGCAAAAUUUUAAAAUUCGGCAAGAAAAAAAAAAUUUUUAAAAAUAUUUAUAAAGAGAUUUUCUAUAUUUUAGCUAAUAAAAAAAUANCAUUAACGCCUGACCUCUUGAAAGUUUUUUUUGAAAUUUUAAGGAUGCAAUAUGCAAAAUUUUAAAAUUCGGCAAGAAAAAAAAAAUUUUUAAAAAAAUUUAUAAAAAAGAGAUCUAUAUUUUAGCUAAUAAAAAAAUAAAAUUAUUUUGCAGCCAAAAUUGAUUUGGAAAAAAAAAAAAAAGAAGCUUAUAGAUGUGCAAGGCCGUACCAAAAAUGUGGUGCAUGGAUGACGUGGUGAACCGGGUGCAGGCAAUUUCUGCCCGGUAAAAGGAUUACAUGAUGUGUGUGGGGUUGUGAUAUUUAUUAUCCCUGUGAUCUCAAUUUUGAGGUGGAAAGCCAACAUAGCUAGCACCAUCCCUAUAUUUUAUUUAUUUAUUUAUUUAUUUAUUUGUCCUCUAAUCAAUAAAUAUAGAGAGAGAGACACAGAGCAGGGCUACGUUAUAAUUUCUCUCUAAUUUUUCCUUUCUAUAAUUCUAAUCAUCGAUCAAAAUUGAUGAAUAAUUAGAAAAUUAAGAAUAUAAGAGUUACUGUUCUCCUAAUAUCAUCAUUUUCAGCCGCAUGAUGAUCCAUCAUCGUCUCACAGUAUACUCUACUCCCAAAUCGAAAAAAAAGUGUUAAAAAUAAGAUAUAUUGAAAAUCCUAUAAAAAACAAAAUAAAUAUAUUAAUAUUAUAUAUGAGUAGCAAGCUGUUUAUGCUUAUUUUUUUUAAAAAAAAAUCAACUAAAAAUGUUAAAUAAUUAGAUUUUCAAACGCAGAAUUUCGAAUAUCAACUAUUAAAUUUGUAGACCGACCGUCCCUAGUGCAAGUGGCAAAAGACUUAAUGGUUGGUACCCGAGAUCUCAAGUUCGAAACCUAGUUGAUUCGCAUUUUCAGUUAAAUUUAUUUCUAAAUAAAAUAAACGAAGCGGGGUAGCAUGCUAUUUUUCUCUUGAAAAAAAAAAAAAAAGCCAACUAUAUUAAAUAUGAUUGAUAAAGUAUAUAAAAAAUUUUGUUGUUGCGUUUAUACGCAGCAUAAAGACUUUUAGUUAUGUUAUUAUUAUCUUUAUUUAAAAUAAUCGUAGCUAAAUAAACUUAUUCCAACUUAAGACCUGUUUAACACAUGGUCGGCACGGACUUUAAAGCCAUGCGAACGGUGAUGGAACUAAUACAAAUUUAAUAAAAAUAGUCGCCAAUGUGAGACUUUUUUUUAUUUACAAUUUCUCAUAUAUUUGACACAAAUUUUAAAGCUCCGUAAACACUAGAUAAAUUUUUCUAUUUUUUUAGAAUUUCUCAAUCGGUAUUUGUCCUAAUCAUUAUUAAAAUUCUCAUCGGACGAUUAUCAUUACAUCUCUAUUGAAUAGAGCGUGGUUAUAUUGGAUCUUAUCGUUAAUUUUAAAAAAAAAUUAUUUAUGACUAUGUAAAUAUAAAUUUUAAAUUUUUUCAAAAAAGGUCAAUUUUUUUAUUGGAAAGAUAAUAUAUUCUUGUGAUUUUGAUUUACCAAAUAUUAAAUAACAACAAACACAAAAACAAAAACAAAAACAAAAACAAAAACAAAGCUGUUUACAACUGGACAAGGAGAGAACUAAACCACCUAUUUAAUGAUAUAUUAAUUAAUAUUAUACAAGAAACAAAAUAUUAUUUAUUUACUGUCACUUGCCACCAUUUAUGGCACAAUUAAUGACCCUUAGAUCUUAAUCAAACGGCCAAACACCAAUCAUACAAACACCAAUGCUAAGUAAUUAAUGGUCUAACUAUGCUCCCACGUGGACCGUACUUUGCAGAGAUUAUUCCUUGGACCUUGUGCACCACGUCAUCUAUGGACCAUCCAAUCAGCUCAGGUCUAUUCCACACUAUCUCCACUAAAAAUUCAAUAUAAACUAAAUUUAAAGUCGCAAUCUCAAGUUUCAAAUUAUAGUACAAACGGAAAUUUAAAACCUCCGACUUUAAAAUUUAUUCUGAAAUUUUAUUUUUGUGAUGGUAUAAUUUUUUAAAUUUAUAUAAUUUGCUUGGCUAUCUAAUAAGAAAAGUAAUUCUGAUGCUUUUUAACAAAUAUUUUAUAUUUAUAAUAAAAUAUUUAUUUGCACAAAAUACCUUAUAAUAUGUGGAAUCCUUUGAGGUGCACAGUUGACAUGGUGAACCAGGUGCAUAUAAAUUUUCAUUUUUUAUUUAACUAUUUCUUUUUAAGAUAUUAUUGUAUAAUUAUCUUAUUUAAUGCUCCAAAUUAUUAUUAUUAUUAUUAUAUUAUUAUGGUUUCGAGCACCUCCACCAAUACCCUCUCCUCAACCUUUCCCUUCUCAUUUCACCUCGUCCUCUUCCUCAUCUCCCAUUCCCCAACCCCCCAAUUCCCCACAAUUUCUCGAUCCAAUCGAUCGAGAUCGGCCUGUUUAGAGACCAAAUCUCGGUCGAUUCGUCCCCAAACCCACCAAUUUCUCCCCAGUUCCAUGAAUUUUUGAUCGAUUUUGGAGGAGGCUUCGCCCCUGUACGUGAUUCCUCUUCGUUUUCAUCUCGAUAUUUUUUGGGUUUUUCUUUCUUUUUUCCAUAAAAAAGCUCUCAUUUUUCUAAUUUUUUAGCUCAAAUCCUUGGUGGGUUCUCGAUUUCUCUUCGUUUAAUGGCGAAAAAUCUCACCGUUUUCGAUUCUUAAACCUCCUCUCCUCAUUUUAUCUUCGCCCUCGCGAAACCCUCCUCUUUUCCCCCUUUUUACCUCGUUAUAUUUCUAUAAUAUUCCUUUUAAUUUCAUCUAUCUUUGUAUUUUUACCUUUUGAUUCAUCUCUAAAUCAGAAAAAAGGUGAACAAAUUUAAAAAAAUGGCAGGGGAAAGGUGUAAUCUUGAUAAAGAUGAGGCCGAGAUCUUGAAACCUUCAUCCUCUUCUUCUCCCUCUUCCUCUUCUUCUUCACCACCACCAUCAUCAUCAUCAUCUUCUCCUCCUCUCUUCUUGAAGCCUCCCCAGGAAUCCCCAGCUCAGCGGCCGGAGGCUUUGGCCACCGCCACCGCCGCCUCCGCAGCUGCCACCGAAGCCGUAGCAGCCGCUGUUUCCGCUGCCGCUGCAGCUCCGAAGCCCGAUGAAUUGCGGCUUCCGGCGGCGGCCCGAUCCAUCAGCAGGUGCUCCACCUGCAAGAAGAGGGUGGGGCUCACCGGGUUCCGGUGCCGGUGCGGCGAAUUGUUCUGCGGCCGCCACCGCUAUUCGGACACCCACGAUUGCUCCUUCGAUUAUAAGGCCCUCGGAAGGGAGGAGAUCAUCAAGAAUAACCCUGUUGUUAGGGCUUCUAAGAUCAUCAAGAUCUAAGGUCUUUUUGGAUUCUUUCGGGCUCUGCUCGAAUGAUUUAGUUUGGUUCUAAGGAGCACUAAUUGAAUUGUGUUUAAUCUAUUUUUAAGUUAUAGUGGACCUUUAUGUUGUAAUUUUUAGCUUUUAAAGUGCUUUGCUUAUGCUUGAUGCUUAAUUAUGAUAGUUCAUAUAAAAUUUCAUGGUAUUAAGAUGGCGUAGUUGUCGGGAUAAUUUAGCUAGGUCUUUUGUAUUUUUAGCUUUGCUUGAAUCAUUUAGUGUGGUUCUGUGGAGCUCCAACUGAAUUGAGUUAUCUAUUUUUGAGUUGUUAGUUGAUCUUUAUGUUGUAAUUUUUAGCUUUUAAAGUGCUUUGCUAUGCUUGAUGCUUAAAAUAUGGUAGCUCAUAUGAAAUCUCAUGGUGUUUAGAUGGCAUAGCUUUUGCGAUAAUUUAGCUACUUCUUUUAACUUUUUAGCUCGCUUAAAUAUAGUAGUCCAUGUGAAAUCUAAUGGAGUUUUGAUGGAAUAGCUUUGGAGAUAGUUUAGCUAGUCUUUUACCUCUGAGCUUUGGUUCAAUGAUUUAGUUUUUGGUACUAUGGUGCUAAUCUAUUUUGAAGCUAUAGUGGAAUUUUGUGCUGUAAUUUUCAGCUAUUAGAGUGCUUUGCUAUGCUUGAUGCUUAAAAUAUGAUAGCUCAUAUGAAAUCUCAAAAUCUGAGAUAAUUUACUUAGUCUUUUUCAUUUCGUAGGCUUUGGCUGGAUCAUUUAGUUUUGUUCUAUGAAUCUGUAAUUGAAUUGGAUUCAAUCGAGUGGACUUUUAUGUUGUAAUUUGUAGCUUACAAGUGUUUAGCUAUGCAUGAUGCUUAACAUAUGGUAGCUCAUAUGAAACUCUCAUGGUGUUUAGAUGGCAUUCCUUUUGGGACUACUUGGGUUUAUGGAAUAGAAUUUUUGUUGCAUUUUUUUCAAAAAAAUCUUGUUUGGCAUUGAAUUAUUUCAUGUGUCUGUGUUGGCUACUUGCUUUGCAGAGGCUCAGCUUUAUGCUGUGAGGAGAAAACGAAUUAACUUCGAUGUGGAGGGCCCCUUAUGUAUUUUGGUGUUUUGCUCUUCCCUUCUAUCUUUAUCUUUGGAUUCUCUCUUCGCAUCUGAAAUGGUCUCUAAUGAUGCCUAACUAUCAAUGUUUCUAGCUCAUAAUAACUCAAAAAGUUUCUGUUUUUUUUUCUGCAGGCGGAAUUACAUUAACACCACUGUUCGCUAGUGUAGAAUUACGAAUUUGCCUUUUAUGAGAAGGUUAUAGAUUGAUAUGCAUUUCUUAAAUUCCUUCAAUUUGCCAUGAUCUAUUUUAGGUAUACUGUUGUUGUUAGUAUGAGAAGCUUGCUUGCUGUAUAUCAAGUUCCAUACCUGUCCUUCUAUUUCGGAUAAAUUUGAUUCUGUAGUGAAGAUAUUAGAUCCUUUUCUGUUUCCAGGACUCUCCUAUGCUUCUCUGAACUUGCCUCUUUUGGGCUCCAAAUUUAGGAACUCAGCUGCUACUGCUACUGCUGCUGCUGCUAAUUCAGCAAUCAGUAUUAACUAGCUCAGCGAAACUAAUCGCAGGAGCUUGCGAGAGAGCUGCUCGAAGAAGCACUACCAGAAACUUCAAUUUGAAUCUUCCGCUUUUAUGGUGUAGUUCUAUGCAUGUAUCUGCUACUGCUUUUCAGAAUAAAGGAACUCUCUUCAAAGCUAAAGUAAUGAGUUAUUUUGUAUGCUACUUUGGCUUAAAAUACAUGAUGAUUCUUACAGCUUGUUUUAUUCUGGCUGAUAUGAUCUAGCUCUUUUAUUGUUCUUAAAAAGAAAAAAUCUCUCUCUCUCUCUCUCUCUCUUUUUUCUCUCUUUCAGGCAACAGUUGAUUCCACCGAAAGGCAAUAGGGAUAGGUUUGCUGCUUUUGUGCAUCAUAUUGGCGAUGGCAGUGAACUUUUUAGAUGCUUUUGCGUUCAGUGCUUUUGUCUUUUCUCCUCUUUUGAAGGGGGAACAUAUGUUGCUGUGCUGUUGCGAAUGGUGAACUCUCCCUUUCGCCCCACAAUUGGUCUGUGCUGUUGGGUGGCUCUGAAGAAUGUGGAAGGCCACCGUAUAAAGGGCCUAUUUAUUACGUUGGUUGAAACAGCUCAUUGGUGCCAGUAGCUGAAGCAUGACUCGAACCCUUUAUUUCUCUCUCUCUCUCUCUCUCUCUCUCUCUCUCUCAAAUGGCCAGGAUACUUGCAAUGGAUCAUACUUGGCAAGGGAAGAAAUAUGAGAAUGGGAUAAACAGGGGAACGAAAUAAUAACAAGAUUAAUAAUGAAAAAAUAAAAAUCAAUUGCCAACAAUGACUAGUAACCACGCGAAAAAGAAGAACACUUACAAAGUGGAAAAUAUAACAUAUACAUUCAGGCAUAAACCGAACAUUGGAAGCUUCACCCCAAAUCAGAAAGUACAAACCAAUGUAAAGCAGUUCUAACUGAUGUGUUUCCAACUUUCCUAGUUGCCUGCAAAAUGGAAUACAUAUUUAGACGUGAAAAUAUUUAGAUAGGAAUUUUCCUCAUGACUUGUUUAUUCACCAUUGGAAAGAGAAUUUACAGAAAAAGUAGCAUCACUUACUCAAAAUUUGGUCUAUGAUGCAAAUAGGCACACCAAGAACGGUAGUUCCCAAAAACUUUGUCCAUCAAGUGCUUUACAGUGCCAACAUCCAGCUGUAAAUCAAUGCGAACUUAGAAAAGUAUUCUUUCCUUUCGAUAGAUUUACUUAAUCGAAGCUUCAAAACCAUGCGAGUAACAGAAAGAAGAUGUUUAAUAAUAUACUGAGAUAUACCAUGGAAUGAAAUUGCAUUACCAGGGAAUGGUUAGGAUGAUGCCUCGCAUUAAUAUUUGCAAGUAGCAAAAUCAAGUGCUCCUUUUGAUUCUCCACAUUCCCUUUCUUCAUAAUAACAAGAUAAAAAUAAUAAAACAAGAUAUUGAUUUAUUUUAUCAUUCAAAUAUUUAAGUUAUUUGUUUCUGCNCGUAGGGUAAAUGAUACCGAAAAUUAUAAAAUUUAAUUUCUAGAAGUUUUAAGUGCUCUAGAUAAUAUUUAACGGUAUGAAUCGUCGAUUCGAAAGCUCUAUCGUCGAAAACAACUUAUGAGUACGAAGUCGAUCGUACUCAUAAGAGUAUAAUAGCCGGACUCUAUCUAUAUAUAGAGAGAGAGUCCGGCCACUAUACUUUUAUGAAUAUAGAGCCUAUUGUACUCAUAAGUUUUUUACCGUUAAAUCUACCCUUUAAUCAUUUUUACCCGUUAAAUUAUAUUAUUCAACCAACCAUACACUCAACCCUAGGGGGGCCACUAUCAAACAUCUGAACGGUCGAAAACUUAUGAGUACAAAGGGCUCUAUAUUCAUAUGAGUAUAGUAGCCCCAGCCUAUAUAUAUAUAUAUAUAUAUAUAUAUAUAUAUAUAUAUAUAGUUCGGCUAUGCUGUUUUUGAAAGCAUCAUGCAUUUGAUAUUUGUAACUUUUUCACCGUUAAAUUUAUUUCUUUGAUUAAUUUCACCCAUGAGAUUAUGUUAUUCCACCAGCAAUCCACUCAACCCUAGUAGAAGAACUAUAAGCACCAAUAAUUUGGUGCUAUUAAUAGUAUUCCAGUUUAAUUCUUUAUAUACACAUAUAAAUAUUUUUUUUUACUUAAGAAUCUGCUUUGAAGAUUGGGUAUUUGAAUCCAUGACCGAUACUGCUAAACAUGAUGUAAAAAAUUUAAAAGAUUUAGAAAUCAAAUUUCGGCAUUUUUUUUUUUUUUGUACUUGCAAUCAAGUGCAUCAAAUGAUUACAAAGUGAAGGGUGAAAAAUGAAUAACAUAUUGAAAAUAAUGGUUAGGAUUUUCUAGUUGGAGGUCAGAGAUGUUGAAUGUGAUAUAGAUAAUAAUUUUUUUUUUAUUUCAAAAAUUUAGCGUAUUUAGAUUGUUCUGUACCAUUUUAUAAGUAAACGGCUUACAAAAAUCGUCCAAAGUUAUCUAUGAUGAAUUCCCUAGAUCAUUUAAGCAAAUGGUCUUAGAAUAUUUCGAAAUUCAAUUUGUAGACACCAUCCCCAGAGCAAGUGGCAAAGGGCUUGAUGGUUGGUACCUGAGACCCAAGUUCGAAUCCUAGUUGAUUCAUAUUUUCAGCUAAGUUUAUUUCUAAAUGAAAUAAACGAAGCGGGUAGCGUGUUACCUNUUUUUCUCUAAUAGAGCAUUGCAGAAGAGAAGCCGCAAAAAAAUUAAAAAUUAUUUUGGGUAUGCUAUUGCUGGUUGGGUUGGUAAAUUCACUAAUUUUAUGGUCCAUAAACUCUCUAGAGGGGCCUGAUUUAUGUCCAUACACUGAAUUCAUGUGUGAUGAAAUGAAUGAUUGUGACCCUAUGAAGAAAAAUCUUAUAUAUAUGCAUCAUUUUUCCACUUAGUUAAAAAAAUAAUUAAAUUUUAUGAACACAACCAUAGUUAGGGACAAAAUUUAAUAAACUAAAUUUCAACUUACAAUGAAAAAAAAUAAAUAAAUAAACGAAACUCAAACUAUAGGAACUAAAAAUCAUGACAAUCAAAACUCUGAGGCCGAGAAAUUAAACUUUGAGAAAGAUUUUAGUCGCCCUGACAAUUUUUAUUGUUCUAAUUUUAUUUGCUAAAAGGUGAUUAAAUUUAAAUACGUAAUUUUAGUUGACUAAAAUUACUCAAUUCCUAAAUAUAGCAACAUCACAUUGCAAAUAUUCCAAAAAGUUAAUUAGUGAUGGAUUAUACCUUGCUUGCGUAUUAUCAUAUUAUACGAAGCUCCUUUGCUCUACAUUUUAUAUACGGGAGACCGCAUAUUCUCCGCGCAUGUACAAGCGUACGUUUGCUCGUGGAUAUCCACCGUCGAUCCUUAACGAACGGUUGUGAUCGAGUUGAACGUCGAUUGUUGGAAGGUUAAUAGUACGCGUCCGCAUGCGCCACCGUCCGUACAAAGGGUCCGGUCCUGUUGUCCGGACCCACCGUUUCUCCGCCCCAUACACGUGCGCCACGUUUACACGAAUUUGUCUCACUGGACCCUGUGCACCACGUCAGCAGGAAAAUAAAAUUUACUUUUACCCUUUAAACGAGACAUUAACAUGUAAUGUAAAUUAUUUUAUUGAGGCUUAAGUAAUACUAUACUACACCAUACCAUUUUUGUAAAAAAAAUGGUUCUACUUAAAUAUAUUUUUUCAAUCCCAACGUUAUAAGAAAUAAGUCUAUAAUUUUAAAUAAAAAUUGUUGAGCAUAUAUUCAGCUUAUUUUGAUAUUAAAAAUUAACAAAAUAUAUAAAAAUAAUAAAAAAAGUUAUUGAAAAUAAUAUGAUGAAAGUUUUCAAUGAAUCUAUUAUAGAUAUUAAAUUUAUAUUUUUUCAGUAUUUAAUUUGUGUCUUUUAAUAAAUUGAUUAGAUUUUUUCUAAAAUAAUAGAUUUAUUAUAUAAUUCGAAUGUAGAGAUUGACGAGAAAUAUAAAAGUUUAGUGAUAUGUAUGACUAAAGAAAAUAAAAGGGAAUAAACCAAAAAUACAAUAUAGAGAUUAAUCAAUAUAAUAAUAUAAUAAUAUUUUUUUAAAAAUAUAAUAUAUCAAAUAAAAAUAAUACUAAAUUAUAUUGUAAGUUGAGUGUAAUUAUGCAUUUGAUUUAAUAUUAAACUCCAAAUUAUUUAUAUGUAAGAGAUAAUGUAUUGGAGACGGAGAGUUCAUUUGUUUGCUGUAAUUUAUUCAAUAAUAUUUGGAUAAAUAAAAAAAAGGAAAAAUAAGAUUCUAUAUCUUAUGAAUGCUUUACUUUGGUACUUUUAAUUUUACUGCAAAAAAGAUAUUCACAUAAUUUGUCACAGUCCCUUUUUUUAAUAAUUAUUACACUAUACUAAUAGUUUAUUGUAUUCUCCAUAAAUGAGCGAAAUAUGCCCUUGUUAUCUAAAAAUCAUGCGAUUUUAAAAUCUAGUACCUUAAAAGAUUUAUUAUUUAUAUUUUUAAAGAUUACGAUUUUAAGUAUGGAGAUUCUUUAAGCAGUGUGAACCACAUAAUAUAUUAAAAUUUUAAAUUUCACCUUAUAUUACUAAGAUUAUUUUAUUUACGUAGUUCCGUUUUUAGCCUCAAAACAACACUAUCAAAUUGUGGGACCCACAUGUCAGUCUCAUAUAUAUUAUAUUAUAUCCUACCACGAUUCCUAUGCGACAAGGAUACACCGCCGCAUUAUGCGGCGUCCACAUUAUCCCCUCAGAAAUGGGCAAAAGAACCUUAUCUGCCGUUCACGCCGUUUGAGAUUCGUGCUUUUUAUUUGAUGGACGGAGAUAGGCCCCCCUCACGCUGGGACCCACCGUACCCUCAAAAUCAUCACAGCUCCCGCGCCAUCCUACGGUUAGUAUCCGUCGGCGUUACGCUGUACCGUACUCCGCUCGCCCGUACAUCACCGGGGGCAUUAUUUCCUGAUCAGAGUGCACCGUGCAUCCUGUGCACCGUUAAUUUACAACCGUCUAUCUCCAGAGGCCCUUCACACUGGACCGUUCAAAUAACUUUCCGUACUUAGUAGGGACGUGAAUGGGAUGAUGUACGGAUGCACCUGAUCCACGCAAAGCUUCACCUAGAUCUGUACCUCGUUGAGAGGCGCAGUUAUUCCGAAGCUUCUCCAUCUCCAUCCCAUCCACAUUUAUACUCUCCUCUCUCUUUUCAUCGCGGUCUCAUGUCCACUUUCUCUCUCCUCGUCUCCAUCUCCACCCGUGGAUGUUCGGCGACUGCGGCCUCCGGAUCCCCUGGCUCCGUCGCCGGCGCCGGAGGAGGCGGAGCGGCGGCGGAGGUGGGGCGGGGGUGGAGCCGGUGUUGCUGGUGUCGGGAAUGGGGGGAUCGAUCCUGAACGCGCGGAGCAAGAGGAGCAAGCGCGAGCUCCGGGCGUGGGUUAGGGUUUUCCUCGCCAAUCUCGAGUUCAAGAAGUACCUCUGGUCCAUGUACAACGCCGACACCGGUGAGUAGCGCCCGCGCCCUAGGGUUUAAUCGCAUGUUCUCCGGUGAUCGGAGUGGUCGUACUUGUAGUUUGAUUUCGUUGCAAGAGGUAGUAGUGCCUUGAAUUGGGGGAAUGGGGGAAUUGGGAUUUGUGUUUGUUGUAGUUUGUGAGAGAUUGGUUUGGCAGGGUAUACGGAGCCUCUUGAUUCCGAUGUUGAGAUCUGCGUACCGGAGGAUGAGUAUGGGUUGCAGGCGAUCGAUAUUUUGGAUCCUUCAUGGGUAAGUUGGGUGUUAAUGACUGAAAUGAACUGGAAUUUACCAUUUCUAUUGUGUUGUUCUAAUUGCUGCAGUAGUUUAAUAUUAGUACUGAUACUUGUAGUGGACGAAGAUGGUAGAUGCGUGCACCUGAUAAUUGAAAUGAAAAGAACAACCAAUUUGAUCAUUAACCAUCUAGACUCAUUGAGUAAAGCAUCACUAAUUUUAUUUCUGGUCUUAUACUAGCUCAGCGAAUUAAAACAUCUUGAUCUGCCAUACUUGUAGCAUCAGAACCAGUACAAAUGAAUAUAGUAAACUAGUGCUGUUCUGUUCCCUCCUCAACUAUCCUUUUUCUCAAACAUGAUCAUGUAUAAAUAGCUGCAUUGUGAUUCCAUAAAAAUGCUAUAGUUCUUAAUUAAAUUUGUAAAGUUUUACCACCGCUCAUUUUAGUUAAUAUUGCCACUAUUUUAAUAGCUAGUAGUUUGUAACCAUUUGGAGAAUUUUAAAUUGCAUAUUCUGUGUUCUUAUCUGUUGUAAAUAAAGGAUUUCUUAUGGCUACUAUACAUAGGAACUAUGCAAUCCUGCCAAUCUGAUUUUCUGAUUUGUUGUUUUCUCAAAAAGAUAAAAAAUAAGAAGUACACUAAUGUUUUUUUGUGAUCUGAUCCCUUUUCCUGUAUACUCUUUCUAUGCUUCUGAUAUUUCAGUGGGUAAAACUUCUGCGUGUGACUGAUGUUUAUCACUUCCACGAUAUGAUUGAUAUGCUGGUUGAAUGUGGAUAUGAAAAAGGAACAACAUUAUUUGGAUAUGGUUAUGACUUUCGUCAGAGCAGUAGGUAAGGUGUAGAGCAAUUUAAUCUUGGCUCUUCAACAGAUUGUUUUCCCCUCGUGGUUCUGGCAUGGAUUGUUCAUUUUUUGUGUUAUUCGGCAGAAUAGAGAAAACGAUGAUGGGACUGAAAGAAAAACUUGAGACCGCAUAUAAGGCUUCGGGAGGGCAAAAAGUUAAUGUAAUCUCACAUUCCAUGGGUGGUUUGCUUGUCCGAUGCUUCAUGUCACUUCAUAAUGAUGUAUGUAUCUCUUUUGUUCUAUGUUCCCAUUAAAUUAUAACAUUUCUUUUUCUUUGAUCUAUAGUUACUAUGAAGAGCAGCUUCGUUAUGACUUUUCUCAGGUGUUUGCAAUGUAUGUAAACAAGUGGAUUUGCAUUGCGUGCCCUUUCCAAGGUAAUAAAUUUGAUUGAGGGAAUUUCAUCUGUUAUAUCAAUCAGUCAAGGCCUUCUGCUAUAAUUCAAUGCUUUACAAGUUUACUUUUGUUUUGUUUUGUUUUUUUCUUUUGGGAAUAAGCCCUUUUGAAUCAUAUAUUGUUGAUCAAUAGGUGCCCCAGGAUGUAUCAAUGAUUCUCUUUUAACGGGGUUGCAGUUUGUUUAUGGUUUUGAAAGCUUCUUCUUCGUUUCCAGAUGGAAUAUGCACCAACUGGUAAUUUCUUCACAUUAUUGUCUUAGGGCUUAGGCAGUAGACUGUUUGAUUCUCAUGAUGUUGUAUGAGUAACCCAUUUAUAGUGCAGUAAUAUUGUUAAAUGACUAGAUAUGCGACGUAUUCAUAUUUCCAUUUUUUCAUCAGCAUUGCUGGAUUCCUUUAAAAUUCUGUUGGGUGAAGCAAUUACUUAGCUAAUUUGCUAAAAUUGUGUAGCGAGUAUAUUUGCAUAUGUCAUCCUCUCUGUAACUUCACCAUUUCAUGCUUUCAUGGAACCGUUAGUCCUGUAAUUUUUUUUUCCCUUUCGUAUUUUAGGAUUUUCCUGUCAAUCUCUGCAUCUUAGAAUCGUUGAUAACUAAUUCGGCCCAUUCGUAUUCUUACUAAAAGCUUGUAUAAUUUGAGUAUAAGCUCCUUGCUUUUUGAGAAAGAAGAUCAGAAACUUCGCUUGCUUUCAUUUUUCUUAUUUAGUUCAUUAUUUUCUGAUGUGUAGCUGGUCGAAUGUCCAUCUAUAUAUGAAAUGCUGCCAUAUUCAAACUUCAAGUGGAAUCAACAACCGCUGGUUCAAGUUUGGCGGAAGCUGUCUGGAGAGAAUGAAGAAGUCAAGUUGCAAGAAUAUGAUGCAACUAAUUGUGUUUCUUUGUUUGAAGAAGCUUUAAGAGAUAACAAGGUUCUUGUACUUAAACUCUUUAAUUUAGAUAUUUAUCUUAAGUUAAACUCUUCAGUUUAGAUAUUUAUUUUGACUUUCUUCUUUUCCUUCAAAAUUACAUGUUGUGAGAGUUGAAUUUGCUCAUUCAACAUAUUUUUCAGCUUAUGAUAAUCUCAACAUAAAUUUCUGAUCAUAUUAACUUCUAAAUUUUGUCGGCUAUUUUAAUGAAACCCAAUAUUGUUGCAAGCAGUACUGAGGUACUUGGUAUUUGGACAGUUAAAAAUGUUAUAUCAAACUAAUUCAAUUACUGACUGUACCUAGCGUUGUUGGCUAAGGAGUAAGGGCUUGAUGGUUGGUAACCCGAGGUCCCAACUUCGAAGCUUAGUUGUUUUUCAUUUCUAGCGGAGUUCAUUUCUAAAAAAAUGAACGAAGCGGGUAGCUUGCUACCUUUCUCUCUCACAAAAAAAAAAAAAAAAAAAAAAAAAAAAAAACAACGCAAGUAAUAAUAAACUUUUUAUUUGAUAUAUGUGACCAUAUUUCGCUUUCUAUGUACAGCUGGAUUACAAUGGAAAGUCAAUCCCUCUUCCGUUCAAUUAUUCAAUUUUCAAAUGGGCAACUGAUACUCGCCAAAUUCUUGACAAUGCUCAAUUACCAAGUGCUGUCAGCUUCUACAAUAUAUAUGGAAUUUCAUUGGAUACUCCAUAUAAUGUCUGGUGAGGAAUUCGUAAUAUUUUGUUUCUCUGAUAUCCUGGUAAAAUAAUUACUUCUAAUUUUCAUCAAAGGUCUGUAUUCCAUUUUGGCAUUGUUUUUCAAGGAAUAUUUCAACAGAUUUUGAAGGCUUGACAUUCAUGUUAUGUAUCAACCUUGCGGUGCAUAUACUUGCAUCCUUUACAAGAGCCCUUUGAUUAUCAUCUUUAGGUUGCCAAAUUUCAUGCGAAAUAUGUUCAAUUUCAAACAUAACAUUUUGACAUGCUUUUGAUUGUUAACUGCAGUUACGGCUCUGAAAGCUCUCCUAUUGGGGAUUUAUCAGAAAUAUGCCACACAAUGGUAUUAUUAUGAACAUAAAUUCUCUUGUAUAUGUAUCUGCUAUUACAUCCACUUAUAAACUGCGGAAGUUGAUGAUGUCUAGAUGGUGCAUUUUCAGCCUCAGUAUGAAUAUGUGGACGGAGAUGGCACUGUUCCUACUGAAUCAGCUAAGGUAAUUAUUUAUGACUCUGAUAUAUGACAACGGAUUACGUUUUGAUCUGCAAUUAUGGAGAAACCGCACCACUAUUGUUGUUACAUUGCGGAGGUAGCAGGAUGAGGCAGCAUCUUACAUACCAUAAAAUGAUUGUAGGCUCAAAACUGAUUCAUUAGAUAGCUUCCCGAAAUGCCUAAAUUAAGGUAUCAUUAGAGGAGGGGAAAAAAAAGAUGCCAUUCUCGAUAACCAUUAUAAGUUGCAGAUUAUUCUCUUGAUAGCACUCAGGUUGUGGAUAACGUAGAGUAGCGUCUGCUAUUGUAGUAUCAGAGGAUAAAUACGAAUACAAUUAGGAAUAUGGAUGCUUUAGUAGUUUCUUGUGAGCUAUAGCGCUUGCUAUCCACUAUCAAAUCCCACACUUGCUAUGUGCUCACUGCGCACGACUUUUAUAUAUAUAUAUAUAUAUAUAUAUAUAUAUAUAUAGAGUCCGGCUACUAUACUCUUAUGAAUACGAUCGCUUUCGUACUCAUAAGUUGUUUUCGAUGAUAAAGCUUCCGAAUCNAUAUAUAUAUAUAGAGUCCGGCUACUAUACUCUUAUGAAUACGAUCGCUUUCGUACUCAUAAGUUGUUUUCGAUGAUAAAGCUUCCGAAUCAAUGAUCCAUACCGUUAAACGUUAUCUAGAGCAUUUAAAAUUUUUAGAAAUCAAAUUUUAUAAUUUUUCGAUAUCAUUUACCUUACGAUCAAAAGCUCACAAAAUUGAUAAUUUUUAACGGCCAGUAUGAGAUAUUUACUAGUUUAACGGUGAAAAAGAAUCGAAAUUGGUUGAAUUUUUAAUAGAAAAUUCUAUUCACUAUCUAAAUAAAAAUCAAUAACUCCGAUCUUAAAUUGAAGGAUUCGAUCAUCCAUUUUUAGGAUGUCGUUCGAUUUUAACCGUUCAUUUUAUACCCGCUUGAUGGACUUUCUAAUGAUUUUGAAAAAUUAGAAAAUUUAUUUCUAGAAGUUUUAAAUACUCUAAAUCAUAUUUAACGGUGUGAUCGUCGAUUUAAAAACUCCAAUAUCGAAAACAACUUAUGAGUACGAAGAGCUCGAUACUCAUAAGAGUAUAGUAGCCCUAGGGAUGUCAAUGGGUAUGGAUACCUGAAAUUUUAUCCGAACCCAAACCCGAAUGAAACGGAUAUAUUCGAUGGAUAUGGAUAUGGAUAUAAAAAAUAAAAAUCCGACGGAUAUGGAUUCGGAUAUGGAAUUUGAUUGUACCCAACCCGAACCCGAACCCGACCCGAACCCGAAUUUAUUUUGUAUUAUAUAUAUAUAUAUAUAAAUUUGAUGUUAUAUUUGAAAUUGUAUUUUAAAAUUUUAAAUUUAAUAUAAUAUAUUUUGAAAUAUUGAAAAAAGAAAUAAUUGUUUCGGGUUCAAAUUUUCGGGUUCGGGUUCGGAUUUCGGAUUUUUGGUCGGGUUCGGGUUUGGAUAUGGAUUUUUAAAAUCCGUCGGGUUCGGGUCUCGGGUUCGGAGUCGGGUUCGGGUUCGGGUUUUUAAAAAUCCGCCCCGAAUCCGACCUGUUGACAUCUCUAAGUAGCCCUACUCUCUCUCUCUCUCUCUAUACAUAUAUAUAUAUAUAUAUAUAUAUAUGGAGAAAGGGCACGACUUACAUCUUGUAACCUUGAUAGUACGACAUUUGCACUUCUUUCCCCGCUACUACAACUGCCCCCAUUAGAGCAAAUUUCUGUUCCCUGCUGUUCAAGCUCUUUCGUCGUCGACAUCAAAGUUUGUCAAAAUAGAGAUGUUAAAGAUAAAUCCGAAUUUGUUUUCUUGUGGCUUUCAAACUCUUUGGUCAAAUCCCCUCUCUCUCUCUCUCUCUCUCUCUCUCUCUUGGUACAUGGGCUCUUCACGCAUUAGGCUCACAACUCCAAACAUUAGCAAAUAUCCUUUUAUUCGCUUUCUUGGCACACAUUCCUUACCUCUUUUCUCAUUUUUAUAGGCUGAUGGAUUCGCAGCAACUGCAAGAGUUGGUAUUAAAGCCAGCCACCGAGGGCUACUGAACGAUGAGAGAGUGUUUCAACUUCUGAAGCAAUGGUUGGGUGCGGGCGAGAAGUCGCGGCAACAACCAAUGUCGACUUCGAAAGUGAUGGACUUCUCUCAGGAGUCGAUUCCUUUUCAAAUGGCUCCAUAGAAUGUUAUAUGCAAGACCAUUUUACAUAACUUUUUUUGUUCUUUCUUACUUUCUCCUCUACACAAUGGGAUAAAGAGGGGUUGUGUGUUAGUUUCUUUUCACUCAAAAAGUUCAUCAAACCACAUUCUCUAGUUUGGGAAGGAAACAUACAAUCAAAAGAAAAUUGUUUCAUUUGAAAGAGAAUUUGACUUCACAGAUUACAAAUUAAAAUUCGAAAUUAUGUGUGUGUUAACUGUUGCAUCUUUGCAGCAGGUCCCAGCCUGGGAUGGAGGGUUGGUUGCAGAAUUCGAAAGCACCCCCGUUCGGGGGUUCUUCCAAGAUAAGUUUGAAAGUCACAAACGCUGAUACUCUUACAAGAUUUCAAUAAAAAUGUAUGAAUUUCCCAUAAAUAUGGCAGUAAGAACACGAAAGCAAAGAUUUAAAGUAUUUUGUAGACGCAAGCAUUGUGGUCCAAAAUGAUGGAGAAUGAUGCUAAAGCUACUGAUCUUGUUAAGAUAUUAAAGAUUGUUGAGUGCUUUUAGAGGCAUCAGUUUUCUGAUGCUCCUGCUCUUUAGAGCAGCUGGUCAGCCUAUGAUCUGUGCCAAGAUCACAUGUAUCACAACUUUCCAUAGGAUUUUCAGGGUGCAUCAAAUAUACACAUAAUGGAAACUACACAUGGCACGUAUAACAUGCAAACAGGUUUGUAAGCGAAUUGCGCACACAAAUGUCGCAGACAAGAUAUUGAAAUAGUAGAACAUGAAAAACGGCACUAGUAAAGGAGCUCUGAAAUAACAUUGGAAUCGAAUCUUAGUAGAAAAAGACCAUCAAAAAUUUUAGUUCUACACUACACCAAAAAUAGAAAAAUCUCCAGCACACAACCUGAAGUUCCUGCAGGAAAUAAACACAUCCGACUUUUCUUUUCUUUUGCUUAUGCUUCACGAAGUUAAAACUGAAGAUCUCAGCGAGAUCUAUUCGAGAUCUAUUUGAAGGAAAAUAACUUACCAUUUUUAACACGGCGAUUUUGCAUCACAAAUCUCUUCCUCAAAUCUUGGCAUUACAGAGGCAUUUCCAUCUCAUCUUCGGAUACUCUUUCCUCCCCUUGAUGGCUAAACAGAUUUUGCUAUUAGGUCCCUUGAUUUUGCCUCGGUUCUUUCACACCCUCUACAAUUUAAAGGAAAGAUUUGCCUAUUUGGUCAAACUGGUUGGUGCCGAUCAAAGUUGCUUCGGCUGAAUCGAGCUAUGGCCGUCGGCUGUACUCGUCGUUUGAACUGGGCCUUCGAUCGCAGCCUCUUCAUCCGCUUCUUUAUGUUCUUCCUCAUUUACUUCGGCUACUUGGGCCGUUUGAUCUUCUUCCUUCGAGCCCCUGCAUUAGAAAAGUUCACAUGAUGAUGAAAAUCUAUUUUUAUGUGGAAAUUUGAUGGAGAAAGAGACUACGGUAUAAAUUGCACCAGCGGUCCCUGAACUCUUGCAUAGUUUCAGUUUGGUCCUGGACCUUUCAGUUGUUAACUUGUCGCCCUAACCUUUGCGCUGUUGAAAUCUUGCCUUUACAGUUAAAUUCCUCCACCAAAUUGGAGAGAAAUAUUCUAUAAUCAAAAGCACCUUUUUGACAUUUCUUAUGGCGAUUACAUGAGAAUAUUCAUCCAUUAUAACCGGAACUUAACUAAGAGCAAAAUUGCAACAGAAUGUAAAGGCUAGGGACUCAAUUAUAAUGAUCAAAAGGCUAAGGAUUUCCAAUGUAAAUUGCAUAAAAACAAAAAUUGGCACAAAGGGAAGUAUUUACUUUGAGUAGAUAAUGAGGCCAAUUGCAACACCUGCAAAAGCUACGAAGUACAUCCAAUCGACCUGUGGGGACAUUAAGUUGCACCAAUUAGAGAUGUAAAUGAAAGCAUGUAGUAUAUUAGAGAAAUGAUCGAAAACCUUCUGAUGAUAAGCAAAGAUGCGGAUUAGAACGGCCCACAUGUCUGAGGUUAACAGUGAGAGGUUAAGCAUAGUUGCUCCACAUAUCUGCAAAAAAUACGGGAGUGAAAUAAGAAAAAUAAGUUGACCAAUAUUAGGUGGGCAUCAGCUUUUCUUUUCUUUUCUUUUUUUCUUCUUUCCUUUUUUCAUUUUAACCCUUGCGAAUGAAUGAACUUGAUUGACAUUAACAGGUACGGCACAAUUAAGAAAUUUAUGAUAUUUAUAACCACUCUUUACCUUAAGAAUUAUAGGGACGGUAGAAUAGAACAAGAACAUUGCCAAUGCAAAGCCGACGAAAGGUAGCACCUAAAAUCACAUGGUCACAGCGAAAAAGUAAUUAGCUUUAUUGUCUAACUUUCUGGCACAUAAAGCCAGGGAUAGCAUGCUUGUUUCAAAACUUGUUUAAGUAUAUUUGCCUAAUUGCCAGCANUCCACUACAACCGAGUCUAGAGAGAGAGAGGAGAAGAGAACGCAACAAGAACUCUCUCUCUCUCUCAGCACAAAACUAUAUAGGGAGGGAAUGGGUUGGUGAUACAAACGAGGGAGAGAAAAGACCCAAUUGCCCCCUCACCUACCCUGGUGUACCGGUACACGGGAUCGCGUACCGGUACAGGAAGCCAACCCGAGAGCAGUACGCGCUCAGCCAGUAUAGUGUAUCGGUACACCUCGCUGGCUGUACCGGUACAGCAAGCAGGAAAAUCUGCUAUUUUGCAGAUUUCUUCGCUAAAACUGCCCUCGCGUCGCACGGAGCCCGUUUUACGUCUAUUUGAGGCCAACGCGACUCGGACUUGUCCCGACACUCUCCAGAGCUGCCGACAAGCCUCCACAACUGAACACCAGGGAUCUCACAGCCCUGCCCGCGUGGUGCUGACGUGGCGCCUGCGUGGCAGCCCAGGGCCAUUUUUGCAAAUUAAAUUUUGGCAGGGCUAAUUUUAAAAUAAAAAUUUGCCAGGGGACUAAAUGCAAAAAAAAGCCCUAAAUUUAUUCAUUUCUAUUUCAAAAAAUAAAAUUGAUCCAUACAAUAAAAUUUUACGCUUGAUAUAGGCAAAAACAAAAAAGAAAAGAUGUUAAGAGAAAAAAAUAAAAAAAGUAAGAGAGUGAAAGAGAGAGAGAGAGAGUGUGUGAGAGUAUUGAGAGAGAGAGAGAGAAGAGGGGGCGGGGUCUUACUGCACCAGCUGUCCAGUGGAUAGAUUUAAGCUCAUUGCGCUCAAGUAUGGCUCUAAAAGAACGUCAAGAAAACAAAAAUGUUCUGACUGCUAGAAGAAAAGAGGUCAUGAUUUUCAUUAGCUAAAAUGAUCAGGAGAAUCAAGAGCAAUGAAACAGGAAACUAAGAAACACUCUCUUUGAAGGAUCAAUUUAUGCCACGCAGAAAAAAUGUUUUGCAUCAUAGACCCUAGUGCAGUGUUUGGUUAGGAAGUGGGAAUUUCUACACCAGGAUGGUGAAAAGUAUCCUAAGGUAAUGUGGUCAGGUUAUGAGUGGUGGAAGAUAUCCCAACUAUCCUGCAAAACACAAUAUUAUUAGGUGCUGUCCUCACUUGGAAUUUGAUAGGGAAGAUAUUCUUUUACUCUGGGGAUGACAGUGAGGUGGAAUUGUAAAAUUCCCAAGCUAUCCCAAAUGAUUUUCACUAUCCCAACCAAACACAAUUGGAAUAACACUAGAAUGGAAGUUGUUUAUUAAAGUACUACAUAACUAGACUGUAAUAAUAUCACCUAUUACUUUAAAGUAAAGGAUACAUUUGACAACCGCUGAUAACUGCUCCAAAUGCUCCCAGCAUUGCCAUCAUCUCAAUCCUAUCCCCAUUCUUCACUAAAUACUCCUGAAAAAUGAAAAAGUUAGAGAGAAGAUGCUGAUUUCCAAUUAAACGGAAUUGGGGAAACAGCAAAUCUUCAAAUAGAACUUCUAUUUCUCUUUUCCUUGGAUGAAAAAUCAAGGAAAUGAAUAGAAGGCAAUCAAAUACUGACAAUUACACUAGCUUAUCAGAACAUCAGGAAUAUAGUAGCCAUAGAUAUUUGAUAAUUGUGCCAAAGUGACAUGAUUCUAAAUAAACAUGAAAUCAACAAGCUAUCAGAUUAGGCCUCACAGAUACUAUGAUUAAAGGUUAAUAACCUUCUUCCCCCUUUAACAAAAACUUUCCAGGAAAUUGUAAGAAUCCUGUGAUCAUAUCCAUUUCAUGCAAAAGAACUAACAUGUAAGCCAUAAAUUUAUGGAAAAGACAUAAACAAAAGAAUUAUUCAAGUCAUUUCGCGGAGUAUCAUGUGUUGCACAUUAUUUAUCUUCAACAGCGAAGAAAAGGUCAACAUAGCACACAGAUUAGCUCUCAGCUCCACAAAAAUUAGUACCUUCGCCCUUCAGUUAGACAUAUCCAUGAUAGAAGCUAGAUAGUCUGUCAUAUAUAAUCAGGAAGAUUAUGAAUAACAAUAAGAUAAUAUCAAUCAACCAUUACCAACAUCCCUCUUCAGGAAAGCAAUCGCAGGAAUCACACUUAUCCUAGGAUACUGAAGUUGAGAUUCAUGAUGAGAAAACACUUUCUUAAUGAGAAAAACAUACCUCACUAACAUUACUGACUGCAUAAAGCAUGGAUCCUGCAAUCACAAACAUAUCACCUUUCACAGGGUUGGGCCCUCCUGCAAUCCAUAGCAAAUGUUAAAUCUCGUGUUGAAUAAACAAAACAUAUACAUAUUAAACACCAGCACACCCUCCCAUUCUAUAGCUCAUUCCAAAGCAGGAAAACUUUUUAUACCAAAACGGAUUUAAGAAAUAGAUUGAUGUAGGAACCGCAUUUUAAGUGCCCAAUUUUUUUUUCCCCUGUUUUUGUCAUUGGUCUAGAAUCUUCAUAAAAAAUGGCCUAAGAUGUUAGCGAGAGUAAGCAUAGUAAAAUAUUGCGUGCUCAAUUUACUAUAGGAUUGAGAAUAAUUAUGCAUUAUAUAGGGUAUAAGGAAUUUGACGACCUACAAGUAUGUACAAGGGACCAAUAAACGAUGUACAUGAAAAGAAAAAUAAAACAUGGAUGCUUCUGAUCAUUACAUAUAAGAAAGAUGUAGCAAAAUACGACAGAAUGCCACAAAAAUCAUUUAGUAAGUUAAUCAGAAUCAAAAUUUGUCUUCACAUAACAGAUUGUCAUGCAGUAAUUUGGCGGAAGCUAGGAAAGAAAGGAGUGGUGGAAGCAUAUGACUCAAUGAGUUUUGUUUUUUUUUUUUUUUUAAUUUUUUAUAUUUUUUAAGAAGGACAAAGGAAGCACAAUGAUCUGAAGUCCAAUUCCAAACUGAAGUCAUCCGAUGUAUGACAGUGCUAGCGAUAUGCCAAUUUUUAGAUCGUAGUGCAAUAAAAUGGACUAGAAUCUAGAAUGGUCUUAUUUUCUCGCUCAAAACUAGUGCUUAUGUUGUAAGAAGGCAUGAGAGACCAAUUAGUACAAGUUUGCAUAGAUAUAUAUAUAUAUAUAUAUAUAUAUAUAUAUAGCUGCUUAGUUCCAAAUAAAUUGACAUAUAAAGUUUUUUCUUUUUACCUGCACGAUCUCCUGCAUGCACAUCAGAAAAUACAACUAAAACAAGGCCACCAACACAUAUGGCCACACCAAUGAAUUUUUUGAUCCCGUACUUAGUCUUCAAAAAGAUCCAAGUAAGAAAUAUGACGCACGGAAUUGACCAACAAUCCAAAAGCAUCACACUCGUCAAAGAUGUGUACUGAUAAGCCUUCACAACUGCACAAGUAAGGAAGAUGGAUGCAGUCUCUUUAAAGAGGGCAGACAACAGAAAAACAGAAUAAAGGAGAAAUCCAUGGUGAGUUAAACAAUGAAAAAAGGCAAAUUACUUUGAAAACAAAUCUCUGUUGGUGUACUUUCACCAAAUGGUUUUCUCAAGCCUAGCUAAAGAAGCAUUGCGAUAGGAGGAUUGACAGCAAGUGCAAAUUUUUUAACAGAAAUUAUGGUUAAUUAUAAAGUUGGCCCCUAAACUUUGAUCCAAAUUUCAGCUUCGUCCUCAAAGCUUCAAUUACAACAGAGCAGUCCCUGAAGUUUGAUUUUCAUUUCAAUUUCAUCCUUGAGAGUUUCAAUUCUAAUAACCCAGCCCCUGAAGUUUGACUUAAAACUUCAGUUUCCCCCUUAAAAUUUCAAUUCUAACAAUGUAGUUCUCCAUUGUUAUAUAGAAAACUUCAAGACCUAACUUUUUACUAUGAAAACUACGAGGAUAAAAUUGAAAUCAACGUUAAGCUUUAGGACUAAAUUUCUAAUUAACCCAAAAAACAAUAAAAAUGAAUCCUUACAGUAUAUAAGUGAGAAGCUUGGAUCAAGAAAGACAGUUAAAUAUGGCCCAAUCAUAAUUAUACUGUUGUGGCAAUAACAAGAACACCAGUAAUGACUCACUCACAAAAGAGCAAUAUCAAUAGUGACUACUUCCUAUCUUUGUUCUAUUACUAAAUCAUGAACUCAAGCUCUUGAAAAGUGACAUGAACUUAAGGUCUUGAAGAGUACCGGAGAUAGUUUUUUUUUUUUUUUUUUGCCUUUUCUUUGUUAAGUGAAUAUUUUUUUUUUGCCUUUUCUUUGUUAAGUGGGUUUUCCACCAUUAUAUUAAACAGAAAAAUAGUAGUAAAGCAAAAGAAUCAGGAGCCACAAGCUGGUGGUCCCAAAGAAGGAAACCAGAGGUUAGCUAUUUUUUGAGAAUAUUUAAUCAUUGGAAAUAGCUGCUGUUCAAUGAUCCAAAAAGUUAUUCAUUUGCAAAAAAUAUAAUAGUAAUAAUAAUAAUAAUAAUAAUAGUUAAAAUUACAAACUGUAUCAGCCUCUUUUUUUUUUUGUGAAUAGAACUUAUAGGCUAAGCUGUAUCAAACUUUUGGCCCUAUGACAGCUACUCACCAAUAAAAUUGGCCUCCACAUCAACAAUACCAAGCAUCAGAUAGUAAUACCAGUUUGUCUGCAAGAGGAAAACAUAAAAAAGUUGCUUAAACAUAAAAGAAAAGGUCAUGCCGAUUUACCAUAGUAAAAGCUUAAAUUACCAAUGAAAAGAACUCAAAAAAGCAAAACAAGAGAAUCAGAAUAAGUAGGGAAUAGAUUUCGUCAUAAAGCUAGUAAAAGUCAUUAAUCAUUAUUGUGAGCUGGCACGAUAAGAUAUGCCAAACUUGUACGCUACAAGUAUUACAUAUUCCACAUUGCUAAUAUUUUGAACGAAUAAAAAGCUCGAAAGCCCAAGAACAACCAGUCAACAUCGCAUAUUGAGGUUAACAUGUCAAUUGUCAACCACGAAUACAAUAAAGUGGUUUUAAAAGCCAAAGUCCUAGAAGUAUAAAAAUCCAAUGAAAUUCCGGCAUACUUUCUACAUCCUAUUAUCAGCAUUCAGUCAUCACUUUUGUAUACUCAAAACUUCUUUUGGGCUCAAAUUAAAAAGCUGAUGUCUCACACACUUUUGCCGUGAUUUGUCAAAAAAGUAUAUAGGGGGGGAAGCUCAAGACCCACCUGACCUAAAGAGUAAUUUGAGAUCACCAUCAAAACAUCAAAAGUAACACAAAACAACCUGAACAGUAA
rnacentral:lncRNA from 1 species